CCUACGGGUGGCAGCAGUGGGGAAUAUUGCGCAAUGGGCGCAAGCCUGACGCAGCGACGCCGCGUGAGGGAUGAAGGCCUUCGGAUUGUAAAACUCUGUCAGCAGGGAAGAACGGUCACUGUGCUAUUCAGUAGUGAAUUGACGGUACCUGCAAAGGAAGCACCGGCUAACUCCGUGCCAGCAGCCGCGGUAAUACGGAGGGUGCGAGCGUUAAUCGGAAUUACUGGGCGUAAAGCGCUCGUAGGCGGUAUGUCAAGUCAAGGGUGAAAUCCCCGCGCUCAACGUGGGAACUGCCUUUGAAACUGGCAGGCUGGAGUGUGUGAGAGGGGAGUGGAAUUCCAGGUGUAGGGGUGAAAUCCGUAGAUAUCUGGAGGAACAUCGGUGGCGAAGGCGGCAAUCUGGCACAUGACUGACGCUGAGGAGCGAAAGCGUGGGUAGCAAACAGGAUUAGAUACCCGAGUAGUC
rnacentral:rRNA from 1 species